rnacentral:rRNA from 1 species
UACGGGGGGGGCAAGCGUUGUUCGGAAUUACUGGGCGUGAAGGGCUCGUAGGCGGCCAACUAAGUCAGACGUGAAAUCCCUCGGCUUAACCGGGGAACUGCAUCUGAUACUGGAUGGCUUGAGUUCGGGAGAGGGAUGUGGAAUUCCAGGUGUAGCGGUGAAAUGCGUAGAUAUCUGGAGGAACACCGGUGGCGAAGGCGGCAUCCUGGACCGACACUGACGCUGAGGAGCGAAAGCCAGGGGAGCAAACGGG